GGGAAUAUUGGACAAUGGGGGGAACCCUGAUCCAGCGACGCCGCGUGAGUGAAGAAGUAUUUCGGUAUGUAAAGCUCUAUCAGCAGGGAAGAAAGAAAUGACGGUACAUGACUAAGAAGCCCCGGCUAACUACGUGCCAGCAGCCGCGGUAAUACGUAGGGGGCAAGCGUUAUCCGGAUUUACUGGGUGUAAAGGGAGCGUAGACGGCAGCACAAGUCUGGAGUGAAAUGCCGGGGCUUAACCCCGGAACUGCUUUGGAAACUGUGCAGCUAGAGUGCAGGAGAGGUAAGUGGAAUUCCUAGUGUAGCGGUGAAAUGCGUAGAUAUUAGGAGGAACACCAGUGGCGAAGGCGGCUUACUGGACUGUAACUGACGUUGAGGCUCGAAAGCGUGGGGAGCAAACAG
rnacentral:rRNA from 1 species